rnacentral:rRNA from 1 species
UAGGGAAUCUUCGGCAAUGGACGAAAGUCUGACCGAGCAACGCCGCGUGAGUGAAGAAGGUUUUCGGGUCGUAAAACUCUGUUGUUAGAGAAGAACAAGGGUGAGAGUAACUGUUCACCCCUUGACGGUAUCUAACCAGAAAGCCACGGCUAACUACGUGCCAG